UUACGGACUUAAUUGAAUUGAGCCUUGUUAUAGAAACUUACUGAGUGGUAGCUUCCAAAUUCAGAGAAACCCUGAAAUGAUAAAUGGAAAUCCUAAGCCAAAUCAUGUUUACAAGAAACAAAAGUUCCUAGAAAGUGGAAAUCAAAGGAAAGGAUAGGUGCAGCGACUCAACAGAAGUUGUUCCAAUAAAUAGAGUUGACCUCGUCGGUAAAUAUUUUUUAUAGUAAUUAAUGGUAAUAG
rnacentral:ncRNA from 1 species